rnacentral:misc_RNA from 1 species
GCAAAUCUUUUUUUCUAAACAAAAAAAAAAAGCUUUCUGAUCAGAUUUGUCCUCAGAAAUUAUUGACUCCCUCAGGGUCAGAGAACCACAAUUUUGGCAAAAUCCUUAUCACUUUCAAGACAUUGUUAUUCUUUUCUAUGUAAAUCCUUCAGAAUCUUUGUGUCCUCCCCAUCUUUUUAUCCUAUCUUCAGCAAUAGAAGCCUCUUUGUUCCAAU